CUACUCCAUCCUGCCCACACAGCCUGCUGCACACCUGGAAAGCACAUUACGUGACUGAUGAGCGCUUGUCUUAACGAAGGCAUGACUUUCUGCUGGAGCCACACAGAGCGGAGCAAAGACUCGGUGACAAGCUGCACGAUCAUCCCCCGGGGUGGUUCAGUACUGUUAUCGCUGCUAACAGACAAGGAAACUGAGGCAGCAGCCAGAGCAGUGAUUGACAGCAGCCGUCAUUAGCGAAUGAGGCUCAGGGCUGGGAAGCAGACCUGGGAGUCCUGCCUCUGGCUCAGCACCAAGGCACAAGGUCUCCUGUAGUGCCAAUGCCCAUAGCUUUCAGCCAGUUCGGAUCACACCGAGCCAAAACACAGGCUUUGACAAAAGCACAUCUUCCACGGAGGCAAGUGAUUUGGUUCAUCUCUGUGAAGAGACCCUAUUCAAAGCUCUCCUCAUCCUUUUAAUUAACCUCCGUGCAGAUUUCAUCCUCUGGGUGCGCUGGAGUCUGUGCGCACAGGCAGGUCUGCAUGAGAAGGGCACACAAGUGCUCGGAGCGGCUGUUCCCAAAGCCCAGCAGAAGCGAGGGACCUCCUCUCCUCCCUCAAGGCCCCAGCCCCGGGUCAGGGAGCCGGGCCGUCGAUGUUUAGUCUGGAAUGGUCUGCGGGACACGAUUUGGUGGUGUUCCCGUGAUACUUCGCACAAUGAGCUUAGGGAGGACAAUGCGGUUGCUUUGUGAGACGUGGCGAUGCUGUGUCUUGUGACACAGCCUAUUAGCAGAUUGGCUAAUGCCGGGUGUGCAGCUGCUUUCUGUCACGGGGAAGGCUGAAAGCAGCCAGAAUAUACCUGUGAAUCCUGCCUCUAAUUACUGAGAGCAAAAAAAAAACCAGUGUGCUCCUGGUUUUCCCGUAUCUGAGCACCUUACAGGCACAUGGAAAAUAGCAGUCCAUAACAAGAACAAAAAUCCCUUUUUAUGCCUUACUAAAAUCCUGCUUAGUAAACAGAAUUACUCUUAAAACAGGCUGUGACAGAGAGAUACAAGGGAAGACAGACACUUCCUUUCAUGAAGACAACUUAUUAAACAGCUGAGUGGAUUUUGCUACCUCUGCUUAACCCCAGCUGUCUCUACACCCCCUAUUUAAGACGUUUUGCCUCUUUAAAGGACCUUUCUGGCAGCCCUCCAUCAGUGCUGAAUUUUUCAGGAGGCGGGGGGAGAAGGGAUGGGACGUGAAGCAGCCCAGUGAGGGAACAUAACAUUUUUCCUUUCAUUUCACUAAGGCCAAGAUUUGGCCUUCUUGCUGAGGGUGGCUCGGUGGUAAUAAGGAUCCCGGCAGUGAACUUCCUGUGAACUGAUGGGAAAAGCCCUUCUCCCGGAGAGAGGAGACAAUAUCCAAGGGCUGUGUACAGAAAAGGGAGGUAGUCAGCUAAUAAAGAAAAUUAACCCGGUGGACAUGAUUUGCCCGCAUUCUCCAAAGCUGGAGCUCUUUUAUAAGGCUUGCCGCAGAAAGCUCUUAAGGAUAACAACUAAUCCCUGGAUAAGGGUCAAAGUUCUUACUGGGCAUUAAAACCUGGUGAUGUGAUUAGAGAAAAAGUGAAAAUUUGCUGCUCAGAGCAGAGCCUCCAACGAGGAAGCCGCAGGGUGCCAUGUCCUGGUCGCUGCUGAAUGAUCCCAGGACACCAGAGAUGAAGAGCUAAUGGCUUUGGCUGAUGGUGCUCAGAUGUCGGAGGAGCCCAGAAGGGAUGGAAAGAUUAUUUGGAGUGAAGCAGCCCAGCAGCCCUCUGAAACGGCCACUGGGACAGGUGCAAGGUGACGUACCCUGGCACGGGACAGCCAUAACUUCACCUCUCCACCAAUGGGCCUUGAAGGUCCCCUCUGGAAAAAAAUAUUUAGCAGUUGCUGUGGAUACCUCCGAUUAGAUGCCUGGGUUUUGUGUGUGUCUGCAACCUAGAAGGCAAACAGGACUCAAGUGACUUAGAACCAGGAGAGAAACUAUAAAAAAUAUCCACAGUGAGACAAUGAUAUAUAAACAAUCCUUUCCAGGCUUAGGAAAGGUUUGAGAUUGACAACACCAGAAGAUGGGGAGUGGAUUAAAAAUAGGGUGGGACCUGGUUGUAAAGGGAUAUGGCAAAAGACUGGAGAGCGGGGUCUGAAGUGUGCCGGAGGGGGCUGGGUGAUGGGAUUUAAGGCUAGGAAGGAAAAUCGUUGCUGGCAAAUCACCCGCCCAGCUGAACCCCAUGGCAGUUUGAAAAUGAAUGCAAUCUGGGGACAUCUACCUUCUGAGCUUUCGGAGUAUGCUUGGGUCAUGCUGGAUUUUGUCUUCUGCAAGCAAGAAGGCUUGAAACCUUUUUGGUUUGACUAAAAGCUAUUAGUCUUGCACAUCACACAGCUCUUGCGCUGGUGCAAAUAGCACAAAAUUCUCAGUAAAAUUGUCGGUGUUGGUGGCCUGGGCUCUAAUAGCUGCUUCUUUGCCUGCAUGGUCUGAUGGAGGGUUGCCUGGGGCAGGUUCCCCAAGCUCAGACAUUCCUGCAAGCCCUAGGUGCACGUUUUCCAGCUUGGAGCAAUUUACUCCACUGAGAGCUGUGUCCAUGAGAGUGCAGGAGGUUUCGCAACUGGGAGGGUUCCCUGAGCCCAGGGCUGACAGAUAAAUUUGGGCCUGCCCCACCCCACUCCUCAGACACACUCAGCCUCUUCCUCCCCAUCCUCCCACCCUACAUGGCAUCCCUUACCUUCCUCCCUCGUUGGUCUUGCACUAUACCCCACCCUUCCUGGCCAGCAAAGCCCCUCCAGGCUGUGCCUUGCUGUUUCCCCUCCCCAUCACCCCCAUACUCCAUAUGCAGCACCCCAAUUCUAGCUGAAUCAUGGGUCUAAAAUUCUAGAUUGUAGUGACUACAGCUGUAGGAUUCCCUGUAGGGAGUUGCAACCCUCCUAACUUUUCUGAAGUGGGGUUGGGAGCUCUUUUCGGCCAUACUACAGCACAAUUACAUGCCAUAACAUCACCCAAAUGGUGAGUAAUAGGCACCUCCCAUCCCAAAAUCUCACAAAAAUGGCCCCAGCCCCAUCAGCAGUGGCAAGGCCAUGGCCCAUACUAAUCUUUUACAAUGAGGGCAGAAAGUAGCUCCCUUCAAAGGAGCCACCAGAAAUGGAGAAGGAAUGAGAACAAAGCUUGGAUGUGCACCUACAGCAAGUGGGAGAAAUACCUACCAGCAAAGUAAAUAAAACAUGCAUGUACACUAUUUUUACAGCUCCUAUA